rnacentral:tRNA from 1 species
GGAAAGGUGGCUGAGUGGUCGAAAGCGCCCGCCUGCUAAGUGGGUAAGGGACCAAAAUCCCUUCCAGGGUUCGAAUCCCUGCCUUUCCGCCA